rnacentral:rRNA from 1 species
CGCUGGCGGCGUGCCUAACACAUGCAAGUCGAACGGAGUUAAGCCCUUCGGGACUUAACUUAGUGGCGAACGGGUGAGUAACGCGUGAGGAACCUGCCUUUCAGUGGGGGACAACAGUUGGAAACGACUGACUAAUACCGCAUAAUACUUUUCGGGGGCAUCCCUGAAAAGUCAAAGAUUUAUCGCUGUAAGAUGGGCUCGCGUCCGAUUAGGUAGUUGGUGAGGUAACGGCUCACCAAGCCGACGAUCGGUAGCCGGACUGAGAGGUUGAACGGCCACAUUGGGACUGAGACACGGCCCAGACUCCUACGGGAGGCAGCAGUGGGGAAUAUUGCACAAUGGGCGCAAGCCUGAUGCAGCAACGCCGCGUGAGGGAAGAAGGUCUUCGGAUUGUAAACCUUUGUUUUAGUGAAGAAAAAAUGACGGUAGCUAAAGAGGAAGCCACGGCUAACUACGUG